rnacentral:rRNA from 1 species
UAACAUUUAGGAAUCUGCCUAGUAGUGGGGGAUAGCUCGGGGAAACUCGAAUUAAUACCGCAUACGACCUACGGGUGAAAGGGGGCGCAAGCUCUUGCUAUUAGAUGAGCCUAAAUCAGAUUAGCUAGUUGGUGGGGUAAAGGCCCACCAAGGCGACGAUCUGUAACUGGUCUGAGAGGAUGAUCAGUCACACCGGAACUGAGACACGGUCCGGACUCCUACGGGAGGCAGCAGUGGGGAAUAUUGGACAAUGGGGGCAACCCUGAUCCAGCCAUGCCGCGUGUGUGAAGAAGGCCUUUUGGUUGUAAAGCACUUUAAGCAGGGAGGAGAGGCUAAUGGUUAAUACCCAUUAGAUUAGACGUUACCUGCAGAAUAAGCACCGGCUAACUCUGUGCCAGCAGCCGCGGUAAUACAGAGGGUGCGAGCGUUAAUCGGAAUUACUGGGCGUAAAGCGAGUGUAGGUGGCUCAUUAAGUCACAUGUGAAAUCCCCGGGCUUAACCUGGGAACUGCAUGUGAUACUGGUGGUGCUAGAAUAUGUGA